ensembl:snoRNA
AUUCUUUUGUAGUUCAUAAGUGUGAUGACUGGGGUGUCCAUGCACAUGUGUAAGAUAUGCCUCCCUCAAACUUUGUUAUGAAGUCAACACAUUACCAAUCUGGCA